ensembl:piRNA 21ur-2168 ncRNA
UCUAGCCCGGCUUUGCUUAAU